ensembl:ncRNA C36F7.20 ncRNA
CGUCAAUUUACAAAAACCGCUGUCCCCUCCGUUUACAAGGACGUACGUUCUACCUAGGUUCACACUCAUUUUUCAAGGCGCAUCUCCUUCGCCAAUUUCUUAAUAAUAGGCGCAAACAGUGAACCGGUCA